rnacentral:rRNA from 1 species
GAUGAACGCUGGCGGCGUGCUUAACACAUGCAAGUCGAGCGAGAAAUCGCGGAAGGAAGCUUCGGUAGAAUUCCGUGAUGGAAAGCGGCGGACGGGUGAGUAACGCGUGGGAAACCUGCCCUUGACAGGGGGACAGCCGAGGGAAACUUCGAUUAAUACCCCAUAACGCAGAGAGACCGCAUGGUCAUUCUGCCAAAGAAUUAUCGGUCAGGGAUGGUCCCGCGUCUGAUUAGCUGGUUGGUGAGGCAGCGGCUCACCAAGGCGACGAUCAGUAGCCGGCCUGAGAGGGUGAACGGCCACAUUGGAACUGAGACACGGUCCAGACUCCUACGGGAGGCAGCAGUGGGGAAUAUUGCACAAUGGGCGCAAGCCUGAUGCAGCAACGCCGCGUGAAGGAGGAAGGCCUUCGGGUCGUAAACUUCUGUCCAAAGGGAAGAAGAAUGACGGUACCUUUGGAGGAAGCCCCGGCUAACUACGUG